rnacentral:tRNA from 17 species
GCGGACGUGGCUCAGUUGGUAGAGCAUCACCUUGCCAAGGUGAGGGUCGCGGGUUCGAGUCCCGUCGUCCGCUC